AGAGUUUGAUCAUGGCUCAGAACGAACGCUGGCGGCGUGCUUAACACAUGCAAGUCAGGGGGAAAGUUCCUUCGGGAAUGAUUACACCGGCGCACGGGUGAGUAACACGUGAGUAACCUGCCUCUUUGAUCGGAACAACUUGCCGAAAGGUGAGCUAAUGCCGGAUAAGUUUAUUAGUCGCAUGACUAAUAAGGAAAGGUUGGGGCAACCUAACGCAAAGAGAUGGACUCGCGUCCCAUUAGCUAGUUGGUAGGGUAGUGGCCUACCAAGGCGACGAUGGGUAGCCGGCCUGAGAGGGUGGCCGGCCACACUGGGACUGAGACACGGCCCAGACUCCUACGGGAGGCAGCAGUGGGGAAUUUUGCGCAAUGCCCGCAAGGGUGACGCAGCGACGCCGCGUGAAUGAAGAAGGCCUUCGGGUCGUAAAGUUCUUUCGACAGGGAAGAAUGUUGCUAUGAGUAACUGCAUAGUAUUUGACGGUACCUGUAGAAGCAGCCCCGGCUAACUCCGUGCCAGCAGCCGCGGUAAUACGGAGGGGGCGAGCGUUGUUCGGAGUGACUGGGCGUAAAGAGCACGUAGGCGGUGAUGUAAGUCAUUAGUCAAAGGCGACAGCUCAACUGUCGUACGGCUAGUGAUACUAUGUCACUGGAGUUCCGGAGAGGAUUGCAGAAUUCCUGGUGUAGCGGUGAAAUGCGUAGAUAUCAGGAGGAAUACCUGUUGCGAAGGCGGCAAUCUGGUCGGAUACUGACGCUGAGGUGCGAAAGCGUGGGUAGCAAACAGGAUUAGAUACCCUGGUAGU
rnacentral:rRNA from 1 species